rnacentral:rRNA from 1 species
UACGGAGGGGGUUAGCGUUGUUCGGAAUCACUGGGCUUAAAGGGCGCGUAGGCGGGCGGCUAAGUCUGUGGUGAAAUCCUCCAGCUCAACUGGAGAACUGCCAUGGAUACUGGUUGUCUCGAGGAAGGUAGGGGUACGUGGAACUAUCGGUGGAGCGGUGAAAUGCGUUGAUAUCGAUAGGAACUCCGGUGGCGAAGGCGACGUACUGGACCUUUUCUGACGCUGAGGCGCGAAAGCCAGGGGAGCAAACGGG